UACGAAGGGUGCAAGCGUUAAUCGGAAUUACCGGGCGUAAAGCGUGCGUAGGUGGUCUUUUAAGUCCGUUGUGAAAGCCCUGGGCUCAACCUGGGAAUGGCAGUGGAUACUGGAAGGCUGGAGUACGGUAGAGGAGGGUGGAAUUCCCGGUGUAGCGGUGAAAUGCGUAGAGAUCGGGAGGAACAUCAGUGGCGAAGGCGGCCCUCUGGACCAGUACUGACGCUGAGGCACGAAAGCGUGGGGAGCAAACAGG
rnacentral:rRNA from 1 species